UAUAUUUUAGUAUAUGAUGUACAAUGGUUUUUGAUACCAUUAGAGAUAGUUUGAUUCUAUUGAAUAUAG
rnacentral:tRNA from 1 species